UUUAGCCCAAAACAAUGCAUUCACAAAACAUUAUUCUUAGAUCAAUAAAUUAUCUUGAAAUGAUUGCAUUUUUUUAGAAAUGUCUUUAUUUUUUUAUAAAGUUGUUGAUCUUUGUUAAAUUACAGGUGAAUAUUCAAGGUAUCCCUCCUUCCCCCAGAAACCAACAAAGAUUUAUUUUCCACCAUAUAAGAUGCUGAAGUUGAAAAUUGGAGCAUUUUACUACCCCAAAAGGCGAUGACAGACAGAAAAUAAAACAACGCAUCAUUGUAAAAUCAAUUAAUUCCAACACUCCGCUCAGAAUCUAAAAUCGACACACACGAUAAAUUAUCCCAGUCCACUGCCUAUAUGUUACGGCAAUCAACACUAUCGCCUAGGUGGCGUGUCUUGGCGAUUUCUACGACUGGAAAUAACAGCGUCGCGUUUUAAAAAUCAACACAGACUACCCGCGGGCCGAGACUACACGUCGACAACACUACCUAUCGUCGGCGGACAACAAACGUGCAGACUUACCGAUCAGCAGGCUGUGGCGCGGCAGACGAUUCCGUCACACGUUCAUGGCAUCGAGGUGGCAGCCCCCGGUCGUUGGGUCUUCAGGUCUGCGCAAGCACACACAUAGAGACAGAGACACAAAUAGGAUUGGAAAUUGUCGUCUAGAUUGAACUUUGAAGAGGCCAAUUUUAAAUGUUUCAAUAAUUUCCAAUGAAUAUAAUAUACAGAAGACUGCAAGAAGACUGCAAACACAAAAUUAGUUUCCCCGUGGAGCGUAAUGAAAAACGACUGACAACCGAAGAUAAUUUUAAGAAAAACGCCAUCAAGCGUGAUGGUUUUUAUCGAGCUCGGAUCAAAAUCGAUACGUUGAACAGGAUAACAAAUUUAUCCGAUCACGUAGGAGUAUCGCCGAUGUUUGCCUACAAUACACAUGAGUACAUAACGCACACACACACACACACACAUUGUGCUGGAAUUAUGUCGUGCUACUACGUAUAUGGUCCUACAGCAGAUUAACAACUUAGGUAUAGACGAAGAGCAGCAAUCGAUGGCGGGUACUCACGUGAUGAGCAAGAAGGACAUUUUCCAUUUAACCGUUCGACAAAUAUAGUAUAUAAGUUAAUGUUUUAUAUGGUUUUACAUUAUUAUGUUUUUACUGUUUUUAUUUGUUUUGUGUUUUUAUAACUUAUAUGUAUAAAUUAUUAUGACUCGGGAACAAUAUUACCAUUUUAGGAAACCCGCACUAUUUUGAACGUAUAGGUAUAAACUAUACGUCACCGAAGUCCCACCCGGUGAAAGUUCGACUUUCCGCAAACUUUUCGACAAACUGCGGGUAAAGCAGGAAUUUUACAAAGAGCUGAUCAAAAAUGUACAGGAAUUAUUGAGUAGUAUACUAGGCGUCGUUCAUAACCGCACACUUUCAAAAAAAAAAGGUCACCACCUGCACCUCGCAGCAGUGGGCAUGACGCGUAAAGCUCUGCAAACACAAAAAGAAAAUUUCUCAUAUUCCGAAGCCACAGCGAACACACCACCAUCCGAUCAACCUCUGCAAAUCGUCACCAAUUUCCUUAACGAGUUACUAAACCCCCUCCUAGCUGUUCUAACAUCCUUGAUAACCAAAAUCCCACUCCCCAUCACUUACACUCCUUAAUAAAUUAUCGCACGUUUCAAUAAUAACGAAAUUAGUUUAAUUGAUUAAUGAUUAUUUACAAACAUUAGAGUGUACAUUUAUUUCAAUUUAAUUAUAUAUUGAAUUAUUUUUAAUUAUUUUUUUAAUAACAUUAAAAUAUGUUUAAUUUUCAACUGUCAAUCAAAUGUGUGCGGUUUUGAACUGUCGACCUUUCAAAUUUCUCUUUUUAACAAUAGAACAAAUGUGUGCGAUAUUGAACGGUGUAAAAUGUGUGGUUAUGAACGGUAAGUGUGUGGUUAUGAUGACGACCGCCGAGUAUAUACUCAAUUAGUAUACUACUUAAAAUAUUAUCAAGCAACAAAUUUCGCAAAAUUCUAGGUUUUAAUAAUGUAGACUCUAGUAAAAUCAAAAUGUCUUAUGUGAGAGCACAUAUGCCAUGGGGCGUACAGGUGAAAUAUAAUCUAAAAUAUCCUUUAGGAAAUAUUUUGUUGACUAUUUAGUAAUUAGGUUAGUGCAGUACUUAAAUGAAACGCUAACGUUAUAUAUAAAAAAAAAAUGUAUUGUGGCUUAUUAAAUGGGGAAAAGAGUAGUUUAUAAUUGGCUUUUUUUUAAUUAACAACUUCCUAGUAAGCGUUUGCAUUAUUGAUGUUGUUAGUUUUGUUUUAUUUUGUCCAUUGAUGGUUUUAUAUAAUAUUAAAAAAUUAAAUUAUUUCAAUUAUGGUUCACAUAAUUUAUUCGAAAUUGUUAAAAUAUAUGUUAUUCGAAUAAUUGAAUGGGUAUACUGCUUACUACUACUGCUUACUACUUACUGUUCUUUGUACUGUCAAUCUAACAUAUUUGUAAUGUAAAUAAUAUUAUGUAAUAUUAUAUUUUUAUAAGUCAUUUUUUUUUUUUGCUAAAAAAUAUAAAUAAAUAUAAUUAAUAGAAAAGUUAUACGGGUUAUCGAGCUAUGAAAGUAUAUCAUUAAUAAAAUGAUAUAACUGUAUACAUUAUUGUCAAUCGUUAACCAUCCUCUAACUCUAUAUUUUUAUAUAAUUAAUAGCCAAUAGGCAGUGUUGAGACUUAUCUAGAUAAAUUUAUUUAAAUCAUAAUAUUAAUUAUUCACGAAUUAUUCAUUAAUUAUUCAUUUUUUUCACUAAAAUUGUUCUUACAGAACACUAUCCAAUUGACAAUCAGUACAUGUUAUUAAUAUGAUAUUAUACUCAUAAUAUUACCAUAUUCCCAUGUUUUACCAGCAAAUUUUAAGUUGAUACGUACUUUGAAGAUUGAGACAUUAUUUUACGAAGUUUUUCGACAAAAUAAAUUGUGUGCCUAAUUGCACAUUUGCAAUUUAAAAAUACUAAAAAAAAAAUGU
rnacentral:lncRNA from 1 species